CAGGCCUAACACAUGCAAGUCGAACGCUAUAUUUAUAUAGAGUGGCGCACGGGUGAGUAACACGUGGGAAUCUGCCCUUCUGCCUGGGAUAACAGUUGGAAACGACUGCUAAUACCGGAUACGCCCUUCGGGGGAAAGGUCCGCCGCAGAAGGAGGAGCCCGCGCUCGAUUAGCUAGUUGGUGAGGUAAUGGCUCACCAAGGCAACGAUCGAUAGCUGGUCUGAGAGGAUGAUCAGCCACACUGGGACUGAGACACGGCCCAGACUCCUACGGGAGGCAGCAGUGGGGAAUAUUGGACAAUGGGGGAAACCCUGAUCCAGCAAUGCCGCGUGUGUGAUGAAGGCCUUAGGGUUGUAAAGCACUUUCACUGGUGAAGAUGAUGACGGUAACCAGAGAAGAAGCCCCGGCUAACUUCGUGCCAGCAGCCGCGGUAAUACGAAGGGGGCGAGCGUUGUUCGGAAUUACUGGGCGUAAAGGGAGCGCAGGCGGUUCAUUAAGUUAGGCGUGAAAGCCCCGGGCUCAACCUGGGAACUGCGCUUAAUACUGGUGAGCUAGAAAACAGGAGAGGGUAGUGGAAUUUCCAGUGUAGAGGUGAAAUUCGUAGAUAUUGGAAAGAACACCGGUGGCGAAAGCGGCUACCUGGCCUGAU
rnacentral:rRNA from 1 species